GGACCUAGUGGAGCUUCUAGAUUAUUCCAACAAAUGGAUAGUUGUCGUCAAGGCUCCAGUGUACUGCAACUACACCUUGCUGCAGGGAAGUGGAAGGACCCUUUUCAUAACCCCCUACGAAGCCUGUGAUGUCCGGAUAGUGAAUGAGCACUACAUCCUGACCCUCCGCUACACAACUUCUGGACAACAAGCUUAUGUUCAGAUGCAAUGCCCAACCGGUGCUGUAGUGCCCACAAAACCCCCUCCCUCUACAACCACUCCACGAAAACCAACAAUACCCACUGCCUGCAGAGCCUCA